UACGGGGGGGGGCAAGCGUUGUUCGGAAUUACUGGGCGUAAAGGGCUCGUAGGUGGCCAACUAAGUCGGACGUGAAAUCCCUAGGCUCAACCUAGGAACUGCGUCUGAUACUGGAUGGCUUGAAUCCGGGAGAGGGAUGCAGAAUUCCAGGUGUAGCGGUGAAAUGCGUAGAUAUCUGGAGGAAUACCGGUGGCGAAGGCGGCAUCCUGGACCGGCAUUGACGCUGAGGAGCGAAAGCUAGGGGGAGCAAACGGG
rnacentral:rRNA from 1 species